UGGGAAAGGGCUGCAAAAAUUCUGGCCACCAUGUAAAUCCCACACUGAAGACUCACUUGGGAAGAACAAAAGGCACAAAAUUUUGAGCUGACCCUCUAAGCAAAGGUUGUGUAACCUGUGCCUCCAAGGUCAGUCAAGCAUUCCGCCAAAGCCUCCAGCUCCGAUUCUGUUUCUUUAAGCACGCAAGCUCACAGACAUCCUUCCAGUUCUUUGAUUGAGGUAGUGUCCUCGGUUUUCGUUGUUAAAGGGGACCCACUAUGGACUUUUGCUCUUGUAGAUUUUGUUACGGAUGCAUAUGAAAAAAUCCACUUGUUAUCUACUUUACUUGGAUGAAUUGUUAUCUGACGUUAACAGGGAAUGUAGGCAGAGUCCUGCAGGAGUCAUCCUUUGCUGAAAGUGCAUAGGAAUGGAGAUCGAUUUAACCUCUACUGCAGAGAGGAAGGGAGAAAUCUGGCGGAUGUCCUACAAAUGUCAUUGACAAGAAAAAGGCUAAAGGCUCUGCUGGAAUGACUCCAUUGACUCCCAUGGCUUCCGUGGGCUUCAAUUUGCAAAACAGACAGAAGAAGAGAAAACCCUUCCUCCACCCCUCUCCCCUGCAGUUCUUGAAAGUGACAUCCGUGCAGUGCUGCAGGAAAGAUUACACAUCUUAGCCUUAUUUUUUUACCCUGCCACUCCCAAUUUACUCAUGCCCACUAUCAUAAUGUUAAUUUUUAGCAAGGAGGAGUAAGGAGUGCUCCCCUGGGCCAACGCGGUUCUCACAGCAGAGAGCAGCCACUCGGGGCGGGGGGGAGGUCGCUGCCGCUGCAAUGGGGCUGGACGUGUCUCUCUCAUUAAGGACUGAGGGCAUCUGCCCCGUGCGCCCGGCUGGCUGGAGUCCCUGCACAUCCCUCAGUGCCCGAAUGUGGCACCGCUUUGUCUUGCCACCCCUUCUCCUUCCCACCCUCCGACUCUUUACCCUCACCUCCCCUGGACCCAUUUCCCUUCUCGAAAAAUCCAUGCAUUUAUUUCCAAUUGCAAACCACACCACAUAACACAAACAUAAUUGCUUAAAAGUUGUUCCACAUUUGAUUCACAUGCAUUAUGCAUCCUG